rnacentral:ncRNA from 1 species
ACCAUUCCGGUGAAGAGGAAUAGUAAUCAAGACUCCAAAUUUGUUAGAGAGGAGAGGCCGUGGCUGUAAGCCCUCCAAAUUUGCCUUGAUGAAUGAACACCUUGGAGGAGUUUUUCUGAAAAGUUUCGAACUGAGUAGGAAAAGACGUUUCGUAGGCGUUAACUACUUGAAAAGUGGAGUUUUAUUUAAAACUCAAUGAGGGUGGCACCACGGGAAUAUAAAUCUCGUCCCUGAU